rnacentral:rRNA from 1 species
CGAACGAACUCUGGUAUUGAUUGGUGCUUGCAUCAUGAUUUACAUUUGAGUGAGUGGCGAACUGGUGAGUAACACGUGGGAAACCUGCCCAGAAGCGGGGGAUAACACCUGGAAACAGAUGCUAAUACCGCAUAACAACUUGGACCGCAUGGUCCGAGCUUGAAAGAUGGCUUCGGCUAUCACUUUUGGAUGGUCCCGCGGCGUAUUAGCUAGAUGGUGGGGUAACGGCUCACCAUGGCAAUGAUACGUAGCCGACCUGAGAGGGUAAUCGGCCACAUUGGGACUGAGACACGGCCCAAACUCCUACGGGAGGCAGCAGUAGGGAAUCUUCCACAAUGGACGAAAGUCUGAUGGAGCAACGCCGCGUGAGUGAAGAAGGGUUUCGGCUCGUAAAACUCUGUUGUUAAAGAAGAACAUAUCUGAGAGUAACUGUUCAGGUAUUGACGGUAUUUAACCAGAAAGCCACGGCUAACUACGUGCCAGCAGCCGCGGUAAUACGUAGGUGGCAAGCGUUGUCCGGAUUUAUUGGGCGUAAAGCGAGCGCAGGCGGUUUUUUAAGUCUGAUGUGAAAGCCUUCGGCUCAACCGAAGAAGUGCAUCGGAAACUGGGAAACUUGAGUGCAGAAGAGGACAGUGGAACUCCAUGUGUAGCGGUGAAAUGCGUAGAUAUAUGGAAGAACACCAGUGGCGAAGGCGGCUGUCUGGUCUGUAACUGACGCUGAGGCUCGAAAGUAUGGGUAGCAAACAGGAUUAGAUACCCUGGUAGUCCAUACCGUAAACGAUGAAUGCUAAGUGUUGGAGGGUUUCCGCCCUUCAGUGCUGCAGCUAACGCAUUAAGCAUUCCGCCUGGGGAGUACGGCCGCAAGGCUGAAACUCAAAGGAAUUGACGGGGGCCCGCACAAGCGGUGGAGCAUGUGGUUUAAUUCGAAGCUACGCGAAGAACCUUACCAGGUCUUGACAUACUAUGCAAAUCUAAGAGAUUAGACGUUCCCUUCGGGGACAUGGAUACAGGUGGUGCAUGGUUGUCGUCAGCUCGUGUCGUGAGAUGUUGGGUUAAGUCCCGCAACGAGCGCAACCCUUAUUAUCAGUUGCCAGCAUUAAGUUGGGCACUCUGGUGAGACUGCCGGUGACAAACCGGAGGAAGGUGGGGAUGACGUCAAAUCAUCAUGCCCCUUAUGACCUGGGCUACACACGUGCUACAAUGGAUGGUACAACGAGUUGCGAACUCGCGAGAGUAAGCUAAUCUCUUAAAGCCAUUCUCAGUUCGGAUUGUAGGCUGCAACUCGCCUACAUGAAGUCGGAAUCGCUAGUAAUCGCGGAUCAGCAUGCCGCGGUGAAUACGUUCCCGGGCCUUGUACACACCGCCCGUCACACCAUGAGAGUUUGUAACACCCAAAGUCGGUGGGGUAACCUUUUAGGAACCAGCCGC